AGUUGACUUCUAACUAAAACCUUGGAGUUCAAAGAGAGGUUGAGACAAAGGGAGACGCUAGCAGAUAUUCAAGCUGAGGCAUUUGCUGUUGUUCGUGAAGCCGCAAGAAGGAAGCUUGGAAUGCGCCAUUUUGAUGUACAGAUCAUUGGUGGAGCAGUACUUCAUGAUGGGUCCAUUGUUGAGAUGAAAACAGGAGAGGGAAAAACAUUGGUUUGAACAUUAGCUGCUUAUCUUAAUGCGUUAACUGGUGAGGGCG